AUUGAACGCUAGCGGGAUGCCUUACACAUGCAAGUCGAACGGAGUGGCGAACGGGUGAGUAAUGUAUCGGAACGUGCCCAGUAGCGGGGGAUAACUACGCGAAAGCGUAGCUAAUACCGCAUACUAUUGGAGCGGCCGAUAUCGGAUUAGCUAGUUGGUGGGGUAACGGCGCACCAAGGCGACGAUCCGUAGCUGGUUUGAGAGGACGACCAGCAAAACUAGGACUGAGACAAGGCCCAGAAUCCGCCGGGAGGGAGGAGUGGGGAAGUUUGGAGAAAGGGGGAAACCCUGAUCCAGCCAGCCCGCGUGUGCGAUGAAGGCCUUCGGGUUGUAAAGCACUUUUGGCAGGAAAGCGGUACCUGCAGAAUAAGCACCGGCGAACUACGUGCCAGCAGCCGCGGUAAUUC
rnacentral:rRNA from 1 species